AAUUGGAGGGCAAGUCUGGUGCCAGCAGCCGCGGUAAUUCCAGCUCCAAUAGCGUAUAUUAAAGUUGUUGUGGUUAAAAAGCUCGUAGUUGAACCUUGGGCCUGGCUGGCCGGUCCGCCUCACCGCGUGUACUGGUCCGGCCGGGCCUUUCCCUCUGUGGAACCUCAUGCCCUUCACUGGGUGUGCAGGGGAAACAGGACUUUUACUUUGAAAAAAUUAGAGUGCUCCAGGCAGGCCUAUGCUCGAAUACAUUAGCAUGGAAUAAUAAAAUAGGACGUGCGGUUCUAUUUUGUUGGUUUCUAGGACCGCCGUAAUGAUUAAUAGGGACAGUCGGGGGCAUCAGUAUUCAAUUGUCAGAGGUGAAAUUCUUGGAUUUAUUGAAGACUAACUACUGCGAAAGCAUUUGCCAAGGAUGUUUUCAUUAAUCAGGAACGAAAGUUAGGGGAUCGAAAGCGAUCAGAUACCGUUGUAGUCUUAACCAUAAACUAUGCCGACUAGGGAUCGGACGAUGUUAUUUUUUGACUCGUUCGGCACCUUACGGGAAACCAAAGUGU
rnacentral:rRNA from 1 species